UAGCGCUCCUAUCUCUGCCCACUCGACCGCCACGUGGCAGCCGAGCGAGGGCCUCGGGGUGGCGC
rnacentral:pre_miRNA from 1 species